rnacentral:rRNA from 1 species
UGGGGAAUAUUGGACAAUGGGCGCAAGCCUGAUCCAGCCAUGCCGCGUGAGUGAUGAAGGCCCUAGGGUUGUAAAGCUCUUUCACCGGUGAAGAUAAUGACGGUAACCGGAGAAGAAGCCCCGGCUAACUUCGUGCCAUCAGCCGCGGUAAUACGAAGGGGGCUAGCGUUGUUCGGAUUUACUGGGCGUAAAGCGCACGUAGGCGGACUAUUAAGUCAGGGGUGAAAUCCCGGGGCUCAACCCCGGAACUGCCUUUGAUACUGGUAGUCUUGAGUUCGAGAGAGGUGAGUGGAAUUCCGAGUGUAGAGGUGAAAAUCGUAGAUAUUCGGAGGAACACCAGUGGCGAAGGCGGCUCACUGGCUCGAUACUGACGCUGAGGUGCGAAAGCGUGGGGAGCAAACAGG